GACGUUUUGUAAUGGAAACCAUAUUUAACUAUAAACGUCGUCUUUGUGUCAUUUUUUUUUUUUUUUAUCAAAAGCAAUUCUUGUACACAUAAGUGUUAAGGUUGGACCGAAACUCGGCUUACCUGGAAAGUUGUUGUGUGUUGUUGUCCCCGGAAGUAGCGAACUCGGCUUACCUGUAAAGUUAUUUUUUUUAGUUGUUGUCACCGGAAGUAGCGAACUCGGCUUACCUGUAAAGUUUUAUUUGUUGUUGUUGUCCACCGGAAGUAGUCAACCUGUCUGUCGUGGUUUUUUUGGGGGGGUUUUUUGUAACUCCAAAAAGAAACAAAUUAUGGCGUCUUCACGUUCUUCAACCUGUUCGAGCGGGAAGAGGUUUUCCAUGAGCACACAGACGCUAACUUGGAGGAGGAUGACGUGAACGCAGUGUUUUAGUGAGAUUGUAAAGACAUACCUGAAAAUCGGAUGGCUGCGGUGAACACGCCAGUGUCUCAGAGAGAAGCCGAGGAGCCAAGAUCACAGCUGCCUUUUUUGACAGCUACUGCAGGAGGACGCUUAAUCCACUGAUGUCUCCGGUAAGAUAUACAUAUCACAAUUUUCCCAUCCAAAAAUAAAUCAAGUUUAUGAGUUUCAACAUCAAAUAUGUUGUCUGUGUUGUGCAUUCAACUGAAUAUGGAUUGAAAAGGAUUUGCAAAUCAUUGUAUUCCGUUUAUAUUUACAUCUAACACAAUUUCCCAACUUAUAUGGAAACGGGGUUUGUACUUUUACUCAAGUAAAUAUUUGGGUGACUACUCCUUACUUUUACUUGAGUAAUACAUCUCUGAAGUAACAGUACUCUUACUUGAGUACAAUUUCUGGCUACUCUACCCACCUCUGUUGAUAUCACUAAAUCACCUUCUGUCACAUACGCUUGCACCUCCUGGUACCCCAGCACCUCCAAAACCCUCAAAUCUAGACUCCAAACAUCCCAGAACAAGCUAGUCCGGUUACUUUUAGACCUCCACCCCAGAUCACACCUCAAUCCAACCCACUUCUCCAAAGUGGGGCUGGCUCAGGCUGGAGGACAGAGUAAAACAACUUGCACUGAGCCUAGUCUAUAAAAUCUGCUACACCUCCUUGAUACCGAAGUACAUGUCAAGCUACUUCCUUAACGACCGCCAUAACCACAACACCAGGGGGAGCUCCACAAACCACGUUAAACCCAGAUUCCGAUCUAACAAAGGUCUUAACUCAUUCUCCUUCUAUGCCACAUCAAUGUGGAAUGCACUCCCAACAGGUGUAAAAGUAAGUGCAUCUCUAUAUUCCUUCAAAACCGCUCUAAAACAACACCUCCAGGCAACUUCAACACUUUACUAAUACUCUCCUCCAUUCACAUCCCAUCUCCCCGGAUUAUAAACAACUCAAAUGUACUUCUAAUGUAUAUACUUGUUCUUAUGCUAUCUGAACUCACUAUUUUCUCUGCUGGCUGUACAUAUCCUACUAAAUAAGACCUACAGUGUUUCAAUGUCCACAUUUCUCUGUUGAUGCAAUUGUUGAUGACUGAAGUACUGAUAUCAACCAAAGCUACCCAUCCCACCCCCCGGAUUGUAAAUAAUGUAAAUAAUUCAAUGUACAUACUAUGAUGAUUAACUUGUGUGAUGACUGUAUUAUGUUGAUAGUGUAUAUUUGUACCAUGAAUUGAUUAACGUGGACCCCGACUUAAACAAGUUGAAAAACUUAUUCGGGUGUUAGUGGUCAGUUGUACGGAAUAUGUACUGAACUGUGCAAUCUACUAAUAAAAGUAUCAAUCAAUCAAUCAAAAAACUUACUAGACAGUAAUGGAUUAUAAAAUACAGUAUGGCCAAAAUAAUGCAAUUUAUCACCGCAAAUAAAUCCUGACUUUUAUGACAAACGGCGACAGAAAGUUAAGGCUGUCGGUAUCACUUUCUGCCGGCUGAUGGAAUGCAGCGUUGUCACCAGCUCACUGAGCGACCUGGCGUCAGCAAAUGUCGCUUUGUUUCCGAGCUUUCCUUCCCCGGCUGUAAAUCG